rnacentral:rRNA from 1 species
UGGGGAAUUGUUCGCAAUGGGCGCAAGCCUGACGACGCAACGCCGCGUGGAGGACGAAGAUCUUCGGGUCGUAAACUCCUGUCGAGCGGGACGAACACCCAUCCGGUGAAUAUCCGGGAGGGCUGACGGUACCGCUAAAGGAAGCCCCGGCUAACUCCGUGCCAGCAGCCGCGGUAAUACGGGGGGGGCAAGCGUUGUUCGGAAUUACUGGGCGUAAAGGGCUCGUAGGCGGCCAACUAAGUCCGACGUGAAAUCCCCAGGCUUAACCUGGGAACUGCGUCGGAUACUGGAUGGCUUGAAUUCGGGAGAGGGAUGCAGAAUUCCAGGUGUAGCGGUGAAAUGCGUAGAUAUCUGGAGGAAUACCGGUGGCGAAGGCGGCAUCCUGGACCGACAUUGACGCUGAGGAGCGAAAGCUAGGGGAGCAAACGGGAUUAGAUACCCCGGUAGUCCUAGCCCUAAACGAUGAAUGCUUGGUGUGGCGGGUAUCGAUCCCUGCCGUGCCGAAGCUAACGCAUUAAGCAUUCCGCCUGGGGAGUACGGUCGCAAGGCUGA